UCGGUGCCGGCCCUGCCGGCAGCAGCCCCCGGCGGGAAGGGUGGAGCGGCCGCGGCUCCCCUGUUCGGGCCCGGCCAUCCCUCCCCGCAGCGAGCCCAUCGCUCCGCGCUCCCCCCGGCGUGUGGCAGCGCCGUGAGGGGCCGGCCGGCGGCCAAAGGCGUCGCUUUGCCGCUGUAAACACUUGCGAGCGUCCCGCUGGAGCUGCCCUCCCCGCGGGGAGCCCUGCGACGUUGCCCCGGCGCUGUUCGGCGCACAACCAUCGGCUUGGUACCGUGCCCCGCAAUUUGACGUUUUUGUUUCUUGACAACUUUAUACGUCUUUUUAGCAGGUUUUGUUUUGGACAGAGGUUUUCUGCGUAUUUACUGUCUUCUAAACCAAGUGCAAUGUGUAAUAUUCAGAUGCGUUGUGAAUAAGCAGAAUUUGUUAGCUUGUUAAAAUUAAGUGAUUCCUAGUAAGCACAGGGUAUAAUCCUAUACUUACACUUCUGACUCUCAUUUAUUUCGCAGCACAACUUUUUGUCUUGGACACGCACUUCAGCGCUACAAAUUAAUCUUUGAGGUGAGACACCGCGUUGCCGUUGGCAAGGAAAGCUUGCUUUUGUAGUAGUAGUGACUAAUUUACACGCCUGCCCCCGCUCUCUUUCUAGCCUUCUAUUCAUAAGCAAUAUAUCAAGGGUGGACCAAUGCCAGCAGAACAGUCUGUCUUCAGGAAAGAUACUAGUUUUUUUUUUCACCCUUGCUUGACUCUCUACUUGUGCUGGCACAGAAAGUCUGUCAGUACAACCUCCAUCGUUACCUUAUUUUUCCUUGUUUCCUUUUCUCCUACUCCAGUUCCCUCCAACCCUUCAACUUCUUCCUGAUAAAUAUCUUGAUGCUGAGGAAGGCGCUAACAUGAGUUUGUGAGUGUUUUAAUUUAGAAGUCAUUCUUUCUGAGUUUGAUUUCGAGGAAGCAAAAGUCCCUUUGUAACUGUCACUUGAAUAUUUCACGUCUGAUACAAAUGCCUUGUCUGCUUUGCUCAGGUUUAUUACGAGCUGCUCUGUAGCCACAGAAAUCCUCAGGCUUCUUGCUGAAAUUGCACCCAGACAUCCCUUUCUGCAAGGCGAGGGAGAAAGGAGGUCCACAGGAGUUCAUGUUAACAAUGACUCUAAAUGCCCAUUUCCCACACAUCUUUGCUAGUACAAACAGCAAAAAUAGUCCACUUGCACAGAAUCUGAUUCAGCUUUCUUGCAUUCUGCAAUAACAGAUGGAUUGCUAGACUGUUUACUGUUGCUUCCCACAAACUUCCUGUUAGUAAACUCCUGUAUUAUUUAUGAAACAAAAAAAUUACAAAGAAGUAUGUUAGCUGAUUAUUGCCUGCUGGUGAACCACUGCCAGAGAAACUUUUUAUACAAAUAUGUUUAUGGGAGCAAGGAUCCCUUCUGAGGCAGUUGCUGGGGUAUUAUUAUUUUUACAAUAAUUUGUUUCACAGUUUCCUGUGACCUAUUGUGCUGUGCUCCUGAUCAGGAUAUUUCCUGCACUCAGACAUUUGCAGUUGAGUCGAGGUAUCUGUGAAUGUGUAAAAGAGCGAGGGAAAAAAAAAAAAAAAGGCAGCACACAUACAUGUUACAGAGAUCAGCUAUGAAUAAGAAAUAUUUAAAGCCUUGUUGCUUUGCAAUGACAAUGACAAAUGAGAUUUUACUAAUGUGGUAUUAAUCUCUGCUGACCUAGUUUAGGAAGCUGAGUGUCUCAAAGCUUUUUGACAGAAAACAGAGAAUAGUGCUGUAUUGACCACCUUCAUGCUACUUCUUUCAUAAGUAGACAGUAAAUGUGAAGAAACUUUAUUUUCCUCCCAGAAUGGCUGUUAAAUGCCGCGAAACAGAGGAGCCAAGAGGAGCACUUUGUUUGCACUGCAUACCAUAGAUUAGACUGAUUUCUGACUCUCAGUGUUGUGAGAGAGGAGGCCAGCCUGAAAUCUGUCUGUACAAUUUUAUCAACGGAGCUAGUGAAUUUUAAAAAUCAUCUGUGAUAAAAAAGAGCAGAAUGUAAUGCAAAAAUAUGAAAUUUGUAUAAUCACAAAAAUACUUUUAGGGUUUUUAGAAAUAACACUUGACCUAAAGUAAUUCUGUUUUUUUUUUCGAUUGUUCCUAUUAUAUUUCAUUGAGAUUCUGUUCUAUUUAUGUAUUCUGUAUGAAUGAAUUGGCUGCUCCACCUGAUACUUAUGAUUGUAGUCAUGCAUUAUAUAUACACACAGAAACAGAAUGAAAUUUUUCCUGAUCUGAGAUGCAGAUAAUUUUUCCUCAAGAUUUUUUAUUUGGUUCCCUAAACCAAAACUAAAACUCAAACCAGCACUGCAGAGCGAGCACUUUCUAACGUUAGCCGUGCUACAUGGAUCAUUCCUUGCACGAGGUUUAACAAAAAAAAGCUGCUGUGUAUUGUAGGCAACUGCAGAAUUCUGAUUAAAUCACCGCAUACCUUUGUAAGAUCUUUACUUGCAAAAAAACUGGUAUCAGAUGGAACAGGGCAUUUACUGAUCCUGGGGCAGAGCUCAUUCCUGAGUGUUUGUGUGAGACGGCGUCACGUACGCGAUCACUCAUUUCAAGUAAUAGUAAGAAUAUGUCUUCUCUGAGCAAACUCUCUUUUCUCUGCCUCCUCAAACACCCUCGCUCAGCUCCUGCUGACAGAAACAGAAUUCAAUAGUAUUAAGGCAGAUGAUCAGUGGCACUAUCUCCUGAUGCUUCAAUCCACCAACAAGAAUCUUGUGACAGAUGUUUCUGCACUUUAUGCAAAUAGCAACUUCAUGGAUCAGUUUUCUUUUCCUCCACGGAAUAUAUGCAGCUGGAAAACAGAAAUCCAGCUCCGCGGCACAAAGUAGGGGAAAAAAAAAAUGCCGCUGACCAAACAGGCAGCCAGGAGAAAGCAAUCUGUAGAUGUGAAAUCAAAUAAUUAAACUGCUGGUUCUCAGGAUCAUUUCUGGGCUUAAUCAAGUAGUGUAUAUGAUGAUACAGGUUUUGUGGGCUCUUUCUGCAACAGCGCUGUGGCUCAGAAGUCAUUUCUGAAACAGGAAAAAGAGAUCUAUCCUGUGUUGUGUAUAAUGUUUCCUCAUAAAUGUUUUUCUUUCUAUUACCCUUUCUGAUAUGCUGUUUCCAUUCUCACAGUAGUCGUGGAUAGCUGUAUUAGAUGUGAUUUGUAAGUGUAUUAAAAUAGUGGAGUUUGCACAUGAAGAAAGAGUUUCAGCCUGUUAUAUGUAAUAAAUAGGGUAUAGACAUGUAUGUAAACUGGCUGGGUUUAGGUAUGUUCUUUAUAAUAGCACGGAAAGCUGGACAUGUGAGAAUGACUGAUGAAAAGAAGUAUAAUUUCCUUCCUGCUGGUUGAAAGGAAAAAUAACCCUUAAACUUAGUGAAUUAGAGGAGGUUCUAUGGCAAUGUAGUUUUAUAAAUUAUUGUGUAAUAUAUAAAAUCAUGCCAUAUGGAAGAGCAGUAGAAUGCCACCUAUUAUAACCCUAAAAAUAAUGAAAGGUGAUGAUCCUAAAUGCACUUAUUUUUAAAAAGCUAUUUUUUUUUACUAUUAAUACAUAAAAUCAAUACCAUUAUUUUAGACUGAUUUGUUCUUCUGAUUUUAUUUAUUUCUUUAAAGAUUUCUGUGGAAGUAUUUUUUAUCAGCAGACAUCAGAAUAAAUCUCAUGAGUUGUUAGACAACAUCUGUAUCUUAUUUUCUCGGUGAGGCUUUUGUUAAUUUUGUAUAUUUUAGGUGUUUUAAAAUCUCUUGUGGGUCAAAAUUUUUUUUUUCAAUAUUUUCACUUAAUACUUAAUUCAAAGCCUGUAUCUGGUACCAUGUGAACAUUCAGUCAGGAUCUAUGAUAAAUUUUAUUUAUAAAUACACAAAGUCUGGUUUUGUGUCACGGUAUUGUCUAGAACCUUGUCUUCAUUUCAUGACUAGUCAAAUUCUGGGAAAAGAUCUUUAUUCAAUUCAGAUGUACUACAUUAUUUUCUUCAAAAGCCCCCUUCUGUACUUCUUCUAGUUAAAUUUACAAUAAACAUUAGUGAUUUUACCUGGAUUUAUUUUAAUUGAGUUUCUUAAAAAAAACAAGCACAAAACCAACACCCAGAAAUGUAGUGCCAUUUCUAGGAAAAGAGGAAAGAAAGGCUCUGUGUGUGAAAAUGACAAUCAUGCUACACUGACUCUAAUUCAGAUACCAGCAAAUACUUGCCAAUACAUUUGUAUGUACUAUAUCAUGUCUGCUUUUGCAAGUGGCACUGCAGCUACUGAAGUUCUGCAGUUAAGGUACAGUUUGAGCUGACCCGUGUCUGAAGAGUCAAAUACAAUUCUAGACUCAAGUAUUAAUAGAAUAAACUUAAUUUUAUUUUUUUUAUAGGUGCAGCUGCAUUUUAGAUUUAAUUAUAGGCUCCCACAGUAGUAAUUUUUCCGUGACCUACUCAAUCUCAAAAGUCAGAAAAUUGCUUCUUUUUUAAAGCUGACAAUAGCACGGUAUGUUUCCAAAGGAAAAAGACAAAUUACAGCAAAUCAUUACUUUAAGCAUAUUUAAAUAGCCAGGAAGAAAUCCUAAUUGAGAAGUUUGCUAAAAUGUGAAAAAGUUAGUGGUGCUUUUUUUCUUUUUUAGAAAAAGAUUAUUCUCAUGUUUGUAACAUUGCAAGCUGCUUAUGAUAUGAUGCCUUUCCUUCCUCUGCUCACCCUCUACUUCUCCUUUUCUUUCUGAUGAGGUUAGACACAAUAUUUUUAGGAAGCAAAAAUUUUAAGUGGAGAGAAAUUAAACGAUGUUUUUAGGCAGCAAAAAUUUUAAGUGGACAGAAAUUAAUCUGCAGAUGUGUUUAAUAAUGUAAUUUGGCUAUUCUUUGUGAAGCUGAGACAAAGACAAUGGGAAUCUUUGUAUUUUGUUGCAUGGGCUCCAGACCAGUCUGUGAGGCUUUAUUAUCCAGUAGUAGCAUUACUGCCAAUAAUGGUAUUCUAACCACAAUUGUUCAGAAAGGAAAAAACAAAAGGUAUCAUAAAAUAGACUUGACAGUCAUAAAAUGCACCCUGGACCUUCCAGAAAUCUCCUCCCCAAUAAACCUGUGCUCUUUCCCCAUUAUCUCCAUUUUAUCUCUUGUUGUUUCUCGCUUCUGGACUUUCCUCCAGCAGGGCGCUUUCCCUGACAGCCCUCUAGGAUUGUGGCAGGGGUUUUGGCAGCUUGUCCCCAGGGUAUCUGCAGCAGGCCAGCACCCAGAGAGCUGAGGCAGGACAGCCCCAGGCCCACGGGAGAUUUUUAACGGUUGGUGAAUGCAGACACCAUGGGAGGAGGUGAGCUGGCCAGCAGGAACCACUGUUGUCAUUCCUUCAUGGAAGAAAGGAGAAAAAGAAAACUGGCACUGGAGUCCCUUCUUCUGCCAUGAAAUAACUGGAAUAAAGGAGUUGUCUGUUAAGGUAGGUAGCCAUGGUAAUGUACCUUCAGCAAUUUCCCCAAGGGAGCUCACAGAAGAAGGUGUUGCUCUCCUGUAUCUGCUGAAGUGCUUGAGUUCUUCCUCACCCCUGUGUUCUGCGUUUCCUAUAUUUAAAUGACUGAAGCUGUUAAAAUUAGGCUCAGACCAUGGUCCCAUGACAGAAAACAGUGGUUAGCAUGAUUCUUAUUACAAAAAAAAACAACCAUUAGAGGGAAAAUUUGCCGGAUUUUUCACUUAUUUUCCAGCAGGUCAGGUUUACCCAUGUGCCUCUUCACGUAAGACACACAAAAUGAGCUAGCCCUUAGACCCAGAGCAGUGCAAAAGGACAGUGAAAGGGCUGGUUCCUGUGUGAGGGGCAGCUUGAAGUGAGCACAGGAGCAGCAUUGCAGCCUCCAUCUGCAGUCGUGAUGGGCUGGUUGUCCCGCAGCUGUUCCGAGCUGGGAUCCAUCGGUCUCUCUGUUCUCUAUCCUGGUGCUACUUCUCUUCUGGCUUGUACGUCAGAGGAGCUGUGUGCAAAACCAAUCGGCAUCCAAGGAUUCUUCUGGCAAGCAGUGUUUUUCAUUUAAAGCCAAAAUGAAAAAUGAGGUAAAGUUUUUCAUACUUGCCUGAUUCUUUUUCUUUCUGUUACUUCUGUUUUCUUCACUUGUGUGAAAAAGGGGAGUUUAAGUAUGAGGGAGGUGGAUUUUUCUUGCUUUUCUUUUGGUCUAAUUUUUCAGUCAUUUAUGAGACUAUGCUGUUGUGUUUUCUGACCCACCUGAUCCCAGACCAGGCUGAUCUACAGUCUUAUUUUUAUGACAGAUGGCUGAUCACCAACACAGCUGAGUUAGGGGCCUCAAUGAAAGGACCUUGACCCCCCAGCCAGCAUCUCUUGAGGAAUUCUCUUUGUUGGAUGCUUUCAGCUGAGGCCUCCCCCAAAGUCGAAGGUGAUUUCUAUUUGCCAAAGUGGGAAGACAACGGGAGGCAGAAUAAAGAUGAAAAUCCAAGCAGUCAGUUGAACUUGUUCAGACUGAUACCAGCCCAAGGUAUUCAGGCAGCAGCUAACUCAAGGUUUCCCUAACCUUGGCAGAAGUGCAGGAAAUAGUUGCAGGAGGAUGAAGUGUUCUUGAACUGUUUCUCCAAUGUAUCAAGCACAAGCAGGCUAUUCUUCAAUAUUAAGCACGUGCUUCUCUUUUCUUCCCCUUUAAAGAAACUUUUUAUUGUAGACUAUAAAAGGUGGGGGGCAGGGAAAUCAAUCAAUCUCUGUUUGUGGACCCCUGUGCAUCUAUGCUAUCCAAGGACAAAGAUGCAAAUCAGGACCUCCCCAGCAUAAUAGCAUUUAGAAGGCAAAUUUCUUGCUGAAGUCUUAUAGCAAAAGAAAUAGCUGUGCUCAAGUGUAUUUUAAACAAAAAGGAAAAAGAUUAAUUAAUCACAUUCUUUAAAACAUCAGCUUCCCUGGAUACAUCAGAAACAGCAUUCCAGAUAAAAGCAGCAUGAUGUGAAAAGACCUGAUCAGCAACAUAUUGAUGUCUGGGCUUGGGGACUAAUGUAAGAACUUAAAGACUUGGCUAGAGAAUAUAUCAUGAGAAGCAUAAACAUAUAAGAGGAUGCCAAACCAUGAAAGGCUUCCUUUGCACUGAGAAUUCAGAAGUCGGCGUGUUGACAAGCAGAGAAGCCAAUGCUGCUAGCAAAGCACAUAGGGUGAUGAAUAAACGCAGAUUUUGGGAGCUUAGGAGGAGAUCUAGAAAGGGGCCAACUGAUUUAGCCAUGUUUUUAAGUAUCUACACCCAGCAUUUAGGUGCUGUCAAGCCUCAGGCCUCCCUCCGCAGCUGCCAGUGAUGACGUUUCAUGGACUGGGGCAGCCGGCUUUGAUUCAGAAUGUGUGUGUUAGUGUUCAGUUCUCAGAGGGGAUGGAGAGACUACCGAGAGACUGGCUGCAGCAGGCUGGAUGAGCCAUUUGUUGAGGCUAUGGGAGAGUCAGGUUUAAUUUCCUGCUCAAACGUGCUGCAUUUUCUGGCUGUUGGCUCAGCAGCAGGCUCCUGGAGAGCCUCCCUGGAGGCCAGAUACACCUCCUCCUGUGUACCAGGGAAGAGCGUGGAGGCUGUGUGGGAUCUGAGCUGUUCUCUGGCUGGCACAGCAUGUUCAAGACAGAUGUAUGCCUCUGUAACUGUGACAUCCCACUAGCAUCUCUGGAGCUACUGCAGCAGGAAUGCUGGCUUGAAACACUUGAGCCAUGAGCAAAGUAAGAGAACAGAUAUGGCGCGUGCAGUUCUUAAAUUUGAGACCUGGCUACACAUUAUUAAUUGGGGCAGUCUCUUUGGGAUGCCAGCGGAGAAGUAGUAUUCUUAUCUUGUGAGGAAAAAAUGCAGUUUUCCUCCACCUGCACAUAAAAUUGGACAGUUCAGUAAUUAGCUGAGAAAUAACAGAUUUACAUAUGAAGCAAUAUAGCAAAGGAAGGGUAGUUGUUAGGUACUAGUUAAUGUGCAGUCUGAUUUUUGAUGGACAAGCUAAGUUUAAAAGCUAUCUAAAGAAAAUGGACAUAUCUGCAAAAAAUAUGGGAUGUACAUAUGAUGAGAAAAAAAAAAACCUCUACCUAAAAGAAAAACUCGAGAGGGCAGUCCAUGGGAAAAAACACCGAUGGCUUCCUCUUUUGCAUUUAGCAUAAGCCUACCAUGCAACUGCUCAAGAUAAACACUGUCUUUUUCUGGUUUGGAAAACAUCUUGAAUAUCCUUUAAACUUGUUGACUUGUUCCACUUUUGUCAGGCCUUCUUGCAUAAGUGCAUUGCUCCCAGCACAAUCAUCCCUUGAGAUGUACUCAUGUUAUUAUCAGGUACCUCCUGGGGGCUGAGCACCUACCCGGGGAGGAUGCUGGUAAGUACUUGCAGGCACCUCUUCUUCAGCAAAGAAAUCAACGUCUGUGCAGCUGAUGGCUCUCAUUCUUGUUUGGUUGGCAGGGAUGGUGUCACUAAACUUGAGCUCACUUCUCACAAUGGAAUUUAAUUAUCUGCUGGAGAGAAGCCCUGACAGCUGUGGCGUAGGUUUUUCAAUGUGAUGUAGCUGGAUCACAAGAAAAAUAUCAAGGGCUGGUGAGAACAGCCAUGUUCUAAAAGCAUCUCUGCUGGGUUAGACCACUGCCUACCAAAGAGGGCGUAAGUUGGAAGCACAGUGUUUGUUUACCACAUUGCCCCUGGGUUUGCCUCUGGCUUGUGCAUCCUGUGGGAGAGGCAGUGGGUCUGCUGUUGGUUCUUCAAACAUUGACAUCUGUGAUGGCCUUCUGUAUUGAAACCCUUUUCCUAAGAGCAGCAUCAGGAUCCAGGAACACUGUCCCUCAACCACUGAAAAAGGAGCCUCUUUUCUAUGGGGAAUCUAUGAGAUCCAAGCUACGCCACACCAGAGGCUACCAUGCAUGUCUUUUCAGAAGCCCUGGCUGUGUCCCCUGGCCUUCAGGCUCUUCUCCACACUAUUUCCCUUAUCAGCACAUCGCAUGGUUGCGUACGCAGUGUCUCGGUGCAGCCGGGUGAGUGUGUUGUCUGCACAGUAAUCACCAAGAACAAAGACUCAUCUGCACGGUCAGUGAGCAGGGCUGGGGGGCCGUGUGUGCACAUGUGCUUGAGACACUGCCUGGCUUUGCAGGGCUGUGGCAGGAGGGAUCUGAGCCAGUGCAAGCCCCAAACCACACGCAGCGCCCACCUUGUGUGGCUCAGGGCCCACAGGCACUGGUCACUGGGUCCCACAGGAGCCAUCCCAAACACAGGAGAGUGGGAAGUGCUCCUCGACCAUGCUUAUCCACAGCAUCAGGGACCAGCACCAUGAGGACAGGAAGUGGCAACCUGCCUUUUAAGUUCUUGAGAAACUUUGACACAGUUUGAUACUUCGAUAGUGGUGCUCCUUGCCAAAGACAGGGAAAAUCCUACAAUUGUAGUAAAUAUUUAUCUUAAAUGAAAUGAGAAUAAUUACAUGGCACUUUCAUUGCUAUAUUCUAUUCAAUUAUCCUGACUAUUAACUAAUUGCUGACUCAGUCCAUUUACAUGUUAAUAAAUGUCUAUGUUUAAGGUC